rnacentral:rRNA from 1 species
CCUACGGGAGGCAGCAGUGGGGAAUAUUACACAAUGGGGGAAACCCUGAUGCAGCGACGCCGCGUGAGUGAAGAAGUAUUUCGGUAUGUAAAGCUCUAUCAGCAGGGAAGAAAUAGCGACCUUUGGGUCGCCAGACGGUACCUGAUUAAGAAGCCCCGGCUAACUACGUGCCAGCAGCCGCGGUAAUACGUAGGGGGCAAGCGUUAUCCGGAUUUACUGGGUGUAAAGGGAGCGUAGACGGCAGCGCAAGUCUGAAGUGAAAUGCCGGGGCUUAACCCCGGAACUGCUUUGGAAACUGUGCAGCUAGAGUGCAGGAGAGGUAAGGGGAAUGCGUGGUGUAGCGGGGAAAUGCAUAGAUAUUAGGAAGAACGCCAGUGGCGAAGGCGGCGUACUGGACUGUAACUGACGUUGAGGCUCGAAAGCGUGGGGAGCAAACAGGAUUAGAUACCCUGGUAGUC